UUGAGCUCCUAAACCCUAAAUUUGCUUUGUAACGUCCCUUCACCAUCGCCAUAUCUUUUGGCUUCAAAAUAUAUAGACGAACUAGAAAUCUCUCGAGCUUUCUCUUGCCUUACUUCUUCUUAAUUAAAUCCUUACCAAUGAAUGGCUUCAUUUCUUACGUUUUACUUUUCGGCAGCUGGCACUUCUCUUCUCUACCUGUACUGCGUGUGAUUUUUCAUUUACUCUGAUCUGUACAAGAUGAUCAACAGAAACAAUGGGGAUUUUGUUACAUAUGCUAUGAUGGACCUCUAACAGCUUGAGAGCGUGACAAUUUCACGCGAACGAAUUUCUAUUUUUACUCGAUGAUAACUGGGUGAACUCUAUGUCGGAUAAAGGCAAAAUAAUGUAACGGUGAAGAUGUUUUCGAUAAGUUCCUUUGCUUCUUUUCUGGCUUCGGCUAACAUAGAGUUCACCUGGCUAUCAUCGGGUAACAAUGGAGGUUGUUUAACUUCUUAAACAGUGGGUCAAUUCGUGUGGUUCAAAUGUCACUCUCUCAUGCUGUUUAAGGUACUUUAUAGGUUGAUCUAAUCUCAAAGACAUUGAUCAAGAAUUUCAAGGGUGAGUUAAAGGACACUUCUUUAGCAGAAGCUGAGACAAAGCAGAGAUUGCUCGAAAACACCCGAAGUUCGAACAAUUCGAUCAAUAAUAGAAGAUAAUGUUUACAAAUCUAAUCAGUGGUAAUGAUUUGCAAGUGUUUAGUUUAUUUUGGCAUUUUCUAUAUCUUUUUGAUCAUGUUCUUUCUUUCUUUUUUUUAAUUGAUAUUUCUGACAGAUAUAUUUUAGGGUUUUGUUUUGUUUUGUUUGCUUUUUAAUGUUAAUUAAAAAACCCAUCUUCUUCGCAGCUUCCUACUUUCAAAAGUCUGAACCUUUAACCCUAGUUUACUAAUGUAAGUUACUUUUUUUAGGAAAAAAUAAAGGAGCAAAAAGUUCAACCAUUUCUGCUUUGUUUCUCUUAGUUCUUUUCAACCUAGUUUGACUUUAUUUUAUGGCAUUGGCUUCAACUUUUGUCUGCUUCUUUCUUUAUUAUUAUGAUUUUUUACAUAAUUAUGUUAGUGUGCAAAUCGCUUUCUUUGGGUUGUGAUUUUUGAAGUGUGUUAAGGUCUGGGUUUUAGAUGUGGAAGAUGCUUUGUCUUAAAGGUUGGUGAGUGUGUGGACCUGGUUUUUAGUUUCCCAUCUCCUUUACAUCUUUAACAUGACGCCUUUUUCUUCGUUUCCGUGGUUUGGUAAGCUCUAAAACAGCUUGCAUUUUUGUCUCUUUUCCUUUCAACUUCUCACCUCUUCCCAAUUUUCCACUCUUAAUCUUUGUAAUUUCUUCAUUGCUUUUUUCGCUACUUACUUUCUCUAACUUUGGCGCUUCAUUUUUUUCAUGUCUAGAUUCAAAGUGCUUUGCUUGUAAACGCUAAAUGCAUCUCCUUGGUUUGUUUUCUGGCUCAAUUCCCUGAUCUUUUGCAUGCAUCUUUGAAUUUUAACUUGGAAAACCAUCAAAUAUGUUCUAAGAUCUAUAUGCUUUUCAGCUGGUUUAUUUUCACCCAAUUUAGAGCUCUUUUUUAGUUAAAAUUUUUUGUUUGAAAGUUGAUUUUGAAAGCAAAAUCUGUAUAGAUUUCAUUUUGGUCAUUUGUUUUUCCUUGUUACUAUUUAUCUCUUUUUUUUUUUUUUCUUAAUUAUUGUGUGUGCAUGUGGCAAGGGCAAGAAAUGACAAAUAGCACUGUAAGUCAUAAUCAUGCAGCUCCAAAAUGGGACCCUUAAAAACCAUAUGGAUAUGAUGAAGAUGAAGGAUAGAGAAGCUGUUUGCGAGAAAAAAGCUGAUUUAGCGCUUUGUUGAUGCCGUGGAGAUGAGCACUCAAGACAAAGGGAGAACAACUUUCGGUUAAAAUCGAGAUAACUAUUUAACAGUUUGAACAAUUUGUGUGAUUUUUUUAUUAGUAAUUUUUUCAACCAUUUUAAAA